GCGGGGCGGCCGGGCGCGCCGGGCGCCUGGUGCGCAUGCGCGGCCGACAGGUGGGCGUGCGCGGCGGGAGCGGGCCUGGUGGACUCCGAGCCCGCGCCCCUUCGCGGUGCGGGCCGGGGGGCCGCGCGCUGGGGGCCCCGGCCGCGGUCCCGGAAGGAGAAAGGGCGGGGGACGGGGGUGAUGAUGCCACAGCGCCCAGCCGGCCCGGGCCUCUCACCUGCUGGCGGGCCUCCGGGGUGCUGGGCGUGACUCGGGACGUCCGGAGCCGCGACCUGCGGUCGGCCCCGGGCGCCGAACCCCAAGGUCUCCCUGGGCCGGGGUCCCCCAAAUGAGCGCCGAGGGCCCGGGAGGAGCCUCCCCUGCUCGUGGUGAUAACAGUUCCGUGCAUUCAUUCAUUUAUUCACUGUUCAUCCCACAAACGUUGCCUGAGCGCCCACUCUGGGCCACGCCUAUUGCCAGGCAGUGGCGAAGACUCAAACGCACACGUAAAGCGCUUAGCAUUGGGGCCUGGCACCUGGUGAGCGCUCAGUCGGUGUUGCCCGGUACACACAUGCAGGCACGUACGCAGACAAAUCGACUUUGCGCGCACGGAUUCCAGAAACAGUGAGCCCCCUACCAGGCCACGCACUUAACCAUCUGGUUGGGCCUCCCUUUCUAGAGAGAGAGAGAGGAUCCCAAGCAGGCUGACACGGAGCGAGAGCCCACAAACCAUGCAAUCAUGACCUGAGCUGAAGUCACGAAUUGGACGCUCAGCUGACUGAGCCCCCCAGGGACACCUCAGUUUUCAUCCCUUAAU